CCGGAAGAUCCACCUUGAGCACAUGGGCUUCUGGGGUCUCCUUCCAGUCGAUCCGGGUGUUCGCAAAAGCCGAAGUUUCCCGAGAAAAGUCGGGGAAAUGGGUAGACAGUGAAGAACGGAAAGGGAAGUCCCUCAAGGGGUCCCAGAGGUCGAGAGCGAAGGGAUCGGAGGAGUUGCUUCGUCGGUCGCCAAAGAAGCUUGGAAUCAGCGACAUCUUUUGCUUGGCUGCUUUAUAGACUCGGUGUGGGAUUGAAUUGAGACAAAAGAAGUAGUGGGUGCUGAGGAAUUUAAGCCAAU
rnacentral:lncRNA from 1 species